ACUCUUCAACCCACCAGUUUCUUGUUAAACCGGAUGGUGUUUGGAUUUUGAGUGUUGCUGGACUUUUAGUCGUAGCUCAUUCGUAAUACAUUAGCAUCUCAAUUUCGAACUUCGGAUUGACUCAGCGUGAUAGACUAUUCGCUGAGGACACCUUCGGGUGGCCGAAUGAGAAGACUUAGAAGCUUAUAAUCAGAUCUUAGUCAAUUUUAGAU
rnacentral:misc_RNA from 1 species